AUCUUCAUUGCAAGUGUUUAAUCGGGAAGAAGAGAGAAGUUGGGAGGUCUCUGAGGAAUAUGUGUGUCUUCUGAUCAAAACCAUUUCCGAGGAGAAAUUGAGGAAACCAUCACUGAAAGCUUUGGUAAUGAUCAUAGCACCUUGGAUGGGUAUUCCAGAAGAACCACCUUGUCUUCAAAAAUGUAUCACACCAAAGGACAAGAAGGUUCUGUCUGUCUCCGGUCAUCAGACUGUGCCACAGGAUUGUGUUGUGCUAGACACUUCUGGUCCAAGAUCUGUAAACCUGUCCUGAAAGAAGGUCAAGUGUGUACCAAGCAUAGGAGAAAAGGCUCUCACGGACUAGAAAUAUUCCAGCGUUGUUACUGCGGAGAAGGUCUGUCUUGCCGGAUACAGAAGGAUCACCAUCAAGCCAGUAAUUCUUCUAGGCUUCACACUUGUCAGAGACACUAAACCAGCUAUCCAAAUGCAGUGGACUCCUUUUAUAUAAUAGAUGCUAUGAAAACCUUUUAUGACCUUCAUCAACUCAAUCCUAAGGAUAUACAAG
rnacentral:sRNA from 1 species